ensembl:lncRNA
AACUUACUUAUGGUUUUUAAAUUUCAGUGGAGCUGUGACAGGUAAACUUCAUGAGCAGAUAAGCAUCACAGUAGAAGUGAGAGACCUCUGGAAUCGAGGAGCAGAAGGUCAGUCUGCUCGUGAGGAGUGUGUGCACCAGAGCUAUGAGCCCACAGCUUAUCCACACAACAGCUGCCAGCCCCACACAUAGCUGGGGUGUUAUGAUUGUGUGAUACUGUAGUGGGUAGCAGGUGGCCACGAAUCUGUCUAGUGCCAUGGCAGCAAGCAGAAAGGUGUCCACAUUUCCAAAGGAAAUUAGAAAGUACAUCUGAGUGAGGCAGUGGGCAUAAGAGAUGGUCUCUAUUCCAGACACGUGGCUAGCCAAGAGCCUGGGGAUGAUAUUGGUGGUGAAGCAGAUGUCAUCAAAGGAAAUGUUGGUGAGGAAGAAGUACAUGGGGGUGUGUAAGCGCGGGUCAGAGCUGAUGGCCAUGAAGAUGAGUGUGUUACCAGCCACCGUGACCAAGUACAUGCACAGGAAAGCCCAGAAGAGGAUUCGUUGCUGUUGUGGGUCAUUGGUGAUGCCAAGCAGGAGAAACCCGCUGACUCCAGUCUCAUUCUCUCCCGCCAUGGACAUAUUCCAGCGUUUCAGGCUCCUGGAGGGAACGGGGUCCAGUGUUGCCCAGUGUGGCCCUGAAAUUUCUACAUAGCAAAAGAUGCACCCUGAAUUACUGAACUUUGCCUCCACCUCCUGGUACUGAUGUAGCAGCCAUCACUGAAUUUGAAUUCUUAAAGAGUACCUUUUAGUUUCAUUCAGGUUCAAAGUGAAAUGGAAGAAAUGAGAAGUUGUUGUUCAGUUGCCCACUCAGGCAUUGAGAAGACUGCACAUGCAGUGGGCUGUUUUGUCCUUGUCAGACCACCAGAUAAUCAGGACCAGAUCCUCUCCUUCUAUAAUACUGAUAUGUACCAGAAUGCUCUAAAGAUCCAAGGAGAGGAGGAUGGGCAGGCUGCAGCUCUGUGGAGUUCUUGCCCAGCGUUUAUGGGGUCCUCCUUUGAUGCUUAGCGGGAUGACUGAGGCUGUAGCUCGGUGGAGCACUAGCCUAGCAUCCAUGAGGUUCUGGCUUGACCUGUGCACAGCACAAGGCUGGAGUGGUGGUGAACACUUGUGAUUCCAGCACUCUGGAGGUGAAGGCAAGAGGGUCAGAAAUCCAAGGUCCUCUUCAAUCACAUAAUUUGAGACAAGCCUGGAGGUAUAUGACAACCUGUCUCAAAAAGUGCAUUCAUAUAUGCACAUACAAACAGGUAGAAAGGCAUACAGGAAAGAAGGAAGGAAGUUAGAGGAGCAAGAGAGAAGGAAGAAGGAAGAAUAAGAAAGACAAUGAAGAGACAAUUGAGAUGUAUCAAACAUUUUUAAGAGUCUCAAAGUGUGGGCUGGAGAGAUGGCUCAGUGGUUAAGAGCACCAACUGCUCUUCCCAAGGUCCUGAGUUCAAAUCUCAGCAACCACAUGGUGGCUCACAACCAUCUGUAAUGAGAUCUGAUGCCCUCUUCUGCUGUGUCUGAAGACAGCUACAGUG